rnacentral:rRNA from 1 species
GACGAACGCUGGCGGCGUGCUUAACACAUGCAAGUCGAACGAUGAAGCCGGAGCUUGCUCCGGUGGAUUAGUGGCGAACGGGUGAGUAACACGUGAGCAAUCUGCCCUUGACUCUGGGAUAACUGCGGGAAACUGUAGCUAAUACCGGAUACGACACCUUGGGGCAUCCCAGGGUGUGGAAAGAAUUUCGGUCAAGGAUGAGCUCGCGGCCUAUCAGCUAGUUGGUGAGGGAAUGGCUCACCAAGGCGACGACGGGUAGCCGGCCUGAGAGGGUGACCGGCCACACUGGAACUGAGACACGGUCCAGACUCCUACGGGAGGCAGCAGUGGGGAAUAUUGCACAAUGGGCGAAAGCCUGAUGCAGCAACGCCGCGUGAGGGAUGAAGGCCUUCGGGUUGUAAACCUCUUUUGGCGGGGACGAUGAUGACGGUACCCGCAGAAUAAGCCCCGGCUAACUUCGUGCCAGCCGCCGCCGUAA